ensembl:lncRNA
GGUUAGAAAUGUGGAGGUGCAAACUUUGUCCAGUAGAAUUUAUAACCUCUGGGAAAGACAAGAAGAAACAACAUGAACACAUAUAACUCACACAGACGGGAUUUGUGCUACUCACACUAACCAUGCAAGGUUCCCAGACAACUGUCUCAGUGGUCUCAGCACUUACUUCUCUGAUGGAGGAGCAUCAUUCUUGAACUGCUAUUGACUGGAGCAUUUCACCAAGGCAGGAAAAAUGCAUUGAUGAGAGGCGAACUGGGAUCCUUGAAGAACUCUGAAAUGACUCCUCUGAAGGUGGGAGAUGGCAGUGAUGCUGCUGCAGAGGAACUGGUUUCCCUAGUUUUAAGAGGAGUAGUAGAGACCAGCCUAUCUUUUUCAGUCUAACUUUCGUGGCCCUGGCUGAAGAACCUAGGAUGCAGAGAGAAAAGGUGUUUUUUUCUUCUAUACUAUCCAUACACCAAGAGCAAGGAGCUGACAGUGCAGAUACAUGAGUAAUACAGCUACAGACAGUGACAGCCAAGAGAAAUGGCCCCUCAUGGGUCAACCUACGUUUCUGUGGCUGUGCUCUGUUGUUUAAAUACGGACAUUUGUAGUACCCAGGAUUGAGCACAUAACUGCCUUGGUGGAAACUCGGAAUGAUUCUGACCUCUCUGGUUUUGCCCUAUGCGGUGGGGACUAUGCAGGAGCCAUCAGAAAUGAAGACCCAAAGAGAGAAGGAACCUGUAUAUUUUUAUGUUGGAUUUUAUGAAGAAGUGGAUAUAGUGGUGGAGAAGCAUGAUUGGACAAAGAGGCCAUGAUCUACUGGCGAUGAACUGCGAGGGACUUAGCAAGGCCCAUGUGUCCAGAUUCUCUGUCCCCUUGUCUUUAGAGAUAAGGUGCCCCCCUUUCUCUCUUCCUCUCUCUCUCUGUAGUUGCUGAAGAGGGCACCUCUUGAAUGAGAGUUUUAGAGGAGAAGGGUAAGAGAAAAGUGAGAGUGACCUUCCUGCUGUUCUCUCAAGUGCCAGGGUGCCAUAUUCUGGGGGUAGUAUUGAGGUAGGAGAUUAGGGGAGGAAAAACUGGUCAAACAACUACGAAGAGCUUGGCAGUCCUGAAGACCCAGGGCACAUUCACAGAACACAGAAUUCAGGUUGACUAUACAGUUCCCAACCCUGCAGGUGGGACCAAUCAAAAAAGUGCCAUUUUCAAUUCUUCAUUUAUACCUGACACAAAACCAAGCAGGCCUUUGAUAGGACAGCUUAAUUCUGAUGUCAGGCCAAGUGAGUUACUGAUAGCACAACCUUCCCAAAUGCCUUGUUUGCAAGGUGGGAAGCAACCUAGGAAUUCAUAUACAAAAGAGCUCUGUCAUUAUCCUUGUGGCAACUGUGAGUUCAUACACUAGCCAGCUCUCACUCUGCAGAGCAUAUUUCUUUUCCACCUUUAAUAAAUGUAAAUUCUUACUACCUUUUUAUCACAUGUCUGUCCAGUUCUUUGUUCAGAACAUCAAAAGCCUGGAAAGAAUCUCUUUGGGACCCAAAAGCUGGUAACAUUUUGUUCUGGCCCCACCAAAGCCAAUCCCAGGGCAUGUGGGCCAACCUACCGAUGCUCUUUCCUCUGUCUCACAAUUAGGGUUCUAAUGUCAGCUCCUUGACUCUGAACCCAGGCUCAGGACCCCCAGACUCAG